rnacentral:rRNA from 1 species
AGCGUAUGAGAUGGAAGAAAUGGGCUACAUUUUCUAACAUAGAAUAUCCACGAAAGAAGAUGUGAAAUCACCUUCAGAAGGG